rnacentral:lncRNA from 1 species
AUUUGAUCAGUGACAGAGUUUAAAAUGCAUUUUAUAAAGUAGUUCAAAGUAUGUAAACAUGUUCAUGGUACAAAGGGAGAUAAUCCAAUAAAAAAUGAAUUUUCAAAAAAAAAAAAAAUCUUCAAUUGGAAGUGUUCUGUUCUAGAUCAGGACACUUGAAAAAGAAUGCAAGAUGGCAAGUUCUGAAACAAUACAAGAAACCACCAA